AUUGAACGCUGGCGGCAUGCUUUACACAUGCAAGUCGAACGGUAACAGGCCUUCGGGUGCUGACGAGUGGCGAACGGGUGAGUAAUGCAUCGGAACGUGCCCAGAGGUGGGGGAUAACGCAGCGAAAGCUGUGCUAAUACCGCAUGUGAUCUGAGGAUGAAAGCGGGGGACCAGGCAGCAAUGUUUGGCCUCGCGCCUUUGGAGCGGCCGAUGUCAGAUUAGGUAGUUGGUGGGGUAAAGGCCUACCAAGCCGACGAUCUGUAGCUGGUCUGAGAGGACGAACAGCCACACUGGGACUGAGACACGGCCCAGACUCCUACGGGAGGCAGCAGUGGGGAAUUUUGGACAAUGGGCGCAAGCCUGAUCCAGCAAUGCCGCGUGCGGGAAGAAGGCCUUCGGGUUGUAAACCGCUUUUAUACGGAACGAAAAGGCUCUGGCUAAUACCUGGGGCUGAUGACGGUACCGUAAGAAUAAGCACCGGCUAACUACGUG
rnacentral:rRNA from 1 species